GAUGAACGCUAGCUACAGGCUUAACACAUGCAAGUCGAGGGGUAACGAGAGGAAAGCUUGCUUUCCUUGUCGACGCCCGGCGCACGGGUGAGUAACGCGUAUCCAACCUGCCCCCACCUAAGGAAUAACCUUGCGAAAGUAAGACUAAUACCUUAUAAUUUCCUCAGAUGUCAUCUGACGAGGAAUAAAGAUUUAUCGGUUGUGGAUGGGGAUGCGUCUGAUUAGCUUGUUGGCGGGGUAACGGCCCACCAAGGCAACGAUCAGUAGGGGUUCUGAGAGGAAGGUCCCCCACAUUGGAACUGAGACACGGUCCAAACUCCUACGGGAGGCAGCAGUGAGGAAUAUUGGUCAAUGGGCGGAAGCCUGAACCAGCCAAGUAGCGUGCAGGAUGACGGCCCUAUGGGUUGUAAACUGCUUUUAUACAGGAAUAAAGUUAGCCACGUGUGGUUAUUUGUAGGUACUGUAUGAAUAAGGACCGGCUAAUUCCGUGCCAGCCGCCGCCGUAA
rnacentral:rRNA from 1 species